rnacentral:rRNA from 1 species
UACGGAGGGUGCAAGCGUUAUCCGGAUUCACUGGGUUUAAAGGGUGCGUAGGUGGGCUAGUAAGUCCGUGGUGAAAUCUCCAAGCUUAACUUGGAAACUGCCGUGGAUACUAUUAGUCUUGAAUAUUGUGGAGGUAAGCGGAAUAUGUCAUGUAGCGGUGAAAUGCUUAGAUAUGACAUAGAACACCGAUAGCGAAGGCAGCUUGCUACACAGUUAUUGACACUGAGGCACGAAAAGCGUGGGGGAGCAAACAGG